rnacentral:rRNA from 1 species
GGGUUGUGAGGUUAAGCGACUAAGCGUACACGGUGGAUGCCCUGGCAGUCAGAGGCGAUGAAGGACGUGCUAAUCUGCGAUAAGCGUCGGUAAGGUGAUAUGAACCGUUAUAACCGGCGAUUUCCGAAUGGGGAAACCCAGUGUGAUUCGUCACACUAUCAUUAACUGAAUCCAUAGGUUAAUGAGGCGAACCGGGGGAACUGAAACAUCUAAGUACCCCGAGGAAAAGAAAUCAACCGAGAUUCCCCCAGUAGCGGCGAGCGAACGGGGAGCAGCCCAGAGCCUGAAUCAGUGUGUGUGUUAGUGGAAGCGUCUGGAAAGGCGCGCGAUACAGGGUGACAGCCCCGUACACAAAAAUGCACAUAUUGUGAGCUCGAUGAGUAGGGCGGGACACGUGGUAUCCUGUCUGAAUAUGGGGGGACCAUCCUCCAAGGCUAAAUACUCCUGACUGACCGAUAGUGAACCAGUACCGUGAGGGAAAGGCGAAAAGAACCCCGGCGAGGGGAGUGAAAAAGAACCUGAAACCGUGUACGUACAAGCAGUGGGAGCACGCUUAGGCGUGUGACUGCGUACCUUUUGUAUAAUGGGUCAGCGACUUAUAUUCUGUAGCAAGGUUAACCGAAUAGGGGAGCCGAAGGGAAACCGAGUCUUAACUGGGCGUUAAGUUGCAGGGUAUAGACCCGAAACCCGGUGAUCUAGCCAUGGGCAGGUUGAAGGUUGGGUAACACUAACUGGAGGACCGAACCGACUAAUGUUGAAAAAUUAGCGGAUGACUUGUGGCUGGGGGUGAAAGGCCAAUCAAACCGGGAGAUAGCUGGUUCUCCCCGAAAGCUAUUUAGGUAGCGCCUCGUGAACUCAUCUCCGGGGGUAGAGCACUGUUUCGGCAAGGGGGUCAUCCCGACUUACCAACCCGAUGCAAACUGCGAAUACCGGAGAAUGUUAUCACGGGAGACACACGGCGGGUGCUAACGUCCGUCGUGAAGAGGGAAACAACCCAGACCGCCAGCUAAGGUCCCAAAGUCAUGGUUAAGUGGGAAACGAUGUGGGAAGGCCCAGACAGCCAGGAUGUUGGCUUAGAAGCAGCCAUCAUUUAAAGAAAGCGUAAUAGCUCACUGGUCGAGUCGGCCUGCGCGGAAGAUGUAACGGGGCUAAACCAUGCACCGAAGCUGCGGCAGCGACGCUUAUGCGUUGUUGGGUAGGGGAGCGUUCUGUAAGCCUGUGAAGGUGUGCUGUGAGGCAUGCUGGAGGUAUCAGAAGUGCGAAUGCUGACAUAAGUAACGAUAAAGCGGGUGAAAAGCCCGCUCGCCGGAAGACCAAGGGUUCCUGUCCAACGUUAAUCGGGGCAGGGUGAGUCGACCCCUAAGGCGAGGCCGAAAGGCGUAGUCGAUGGGAAACAGGUUAAUAUUCCUGUACUUGGUGUUACUGCGAAGGGGGGACGGAGAAGGCUAUGUUGGCCGGGCGACGGUUGUCCCGGUUUAAGCGUGUAGGCUGGUUUUCCAGGCAAAUCCGGAAAAUCAAGGCUGAGGCGUGAUGACGAGGCACUACGGUGCUGAAGCAACAAAUGCCCUGCUUCCAGGAAAAGCCUCUAAGCAUCAGGUAACAUCAAAUCGUACCCCAAACCGACACAGGUGGUCAGGUAGAGAAUACCAAGGCGCUUGAGAGAACUCGGGUGAAGGAACUAGGCAAAAUGGUGCCGUAACUUCGGGAGAAGGCACGCUGAUAUGUAGGUGAAGUCCCUUGCGGAUGGAGCUGAAAUCAGUCGAAGAUACCAGCUGGCUGCAACUGUUUAUUAAAAACACAGCACUGUGCAAACACGAAAGUGGACGUAUACGGUGUGACGCCUGCCCGGUGCCGGAAGGUUAAUUGAUGGGGUCAGCGCAAGCGAAGCUCUUGAUCGAAGCCCCGGUAAACGGCGGCCGUAACUAUAACGGUCCUAAGGUAGCGAAAUUCCUUGUCGGGUAAGUUCCGACCUGCACGAAUGGCGUAAUGAUGGCCAGGCUGUCUCCACCCGAGACUCAGUGAAAUUGAACUCGCUGUGAAGAUGCAGUGUACCCGCGGCAAGACGGAAAGACCCCGUGAACCUUUACUAUAGCUUGACACUGAACAUUGAGCCUUGAUGUGUAGGAUAGGUGGGAGGCUUUGAAGUGUGGACGCCAGUCUGCAUGGAGCCGACCUUGAAAUACCACCCUUUAAUGUUUGAUGUUCUAACGUUGACCCGUAAUCCGGGUUGCGGACAGUGUCUGGUGGGUAGUUUGACUGGGGCGGUCUCCUCCUAAAGAGUAACGGAGGAGCACGAAGGUUGGCUAAUCCUGGUCGGACAUCAGGAGGUUAGUGCAAUGGCAUAAGCCAGCUUGACUGCGAGCGUGACGGCGCGAGCAGGUGCGAAAGCAGGUCAUAGUGAUCCGGUGGUUCUGAAUGGAAGGGCCAUCGCUCAACGGAUAAAAGGUACUCCGGGGAUAACAGGCUGAUACCGCCCAAGAGUUCAUAUCGACGGCGGUGUUUGGCACCUCGAUGUCGGCUCAUCACAUCCUGGGGCUGAAGUAGGUCCCAAGGGUAUGGCUGUUCGCCAUUUAAAGUGGUACGCGAGCUGGGUUUAGAACGUCGUGAGACAGUUCGGUCCCUAUCUGCCGUGGGCGCUGGAGAACUGAGGGGGGCUGCUCCUAGUACGAGAGGACCGGAGUGGACGCAUCACUGGUGUUCGGGUUGUCAUGCCAAUGGCACUGCCCGGUAGCUAAAUGCGGAAGAGAUAAGUGCUGAAAGCAUCUAAGCACGAAACUUGCC